rnacentral:rRNA from 1 species
CCUACGGGUGGCAGCAGUGAGGAAUAUUGGUCAAUGGGCGCGAGCCUGAACCAGCCAAGUAGCGUGAAGGAUGACUGCCCUACGGGUUGUAAACUUCUUUUAUAAAGGAAUAAAGUGAGGCACGUGUGCCUUUUUGUAUGUACUUUAUGAAUAAGGAUCGGCUAACUCCGUGCCAGCAGCCGCGGUAAUACGGAGGAUGCGAGCGUUAUCCGGAUUUAUUGGGUUUAAAGGGUGCGUAGGCGGAUCGUUAAGUCAGUGGGCAAAUUUAGGGGCUCAACCCCUUCCCGCCAUUGAAACUGGCGUUCUUGAGUGGAAGAGAGGUAUGCGGAAUGCGUGGUGUAGCGGUGAAAUGCAUAGAUAUCACGCAGAACCCCGAUUGCGAAGGCAGCAUGCCGGCUUCCGACUGACGCUGAAGCACGAAAGCGUGGGGAUCGUACAGGAUUAGAUACCCGUGUAGUC